UUACGGCUAUAUCACGUUGAAACACCGGUUCCCGGACGAUCACCGAAGUUAAGCAACGUCGAAUCUGGUCAAUACGCAGAUGGGUAACCACUUGGGAAAACCAGGUGUUGUAAG